rnacentral:lncRNA from 1 species
UGGGUGUGCUUGGUUUGAGUAGAUCUGAGGAUUUCUUGGUGGUACCAGAACUGGACUUGGUUGAAUUUGAGGCCUUUGAGGUGGAAUUGAGCUUCUUGAGCUGUUUCGUGGCAGAGAUAGUGGGUGUCGUUUUCGUGGAGUUUGAGGAUUUUGCCGUGGAAUUGAGCUUCUUUAUCUGGGCUUUGUUGAGGAUAGUGGGUGUCGUUUUGGUCGAGUAAGUGGAGGGUUUGACGAGUUUGGUUUGGUUCUUGCUGGAAGAGGUCCCAUCGAGCUUCUUCUUUGGUUGAUCUUCUUUCUGUACCUCUUUGACGAGUUUGGUCUGGUUCUUGGUGGACAAGCUAGUGCUGGGUGUCUUCUUGGGCUGCUCUUCUUUCUCAAUCUCAAACACUCUCCUCCUCCCAAGAAACUGUGUUCUCCGAGGUUGGGCCUCGGAGCAGGCACAAACAAGAGUAGAAGCAAAGAGAAAUAAAACAAGAUAGAGCACAAGUACCUGUCUGAAACUGAAGUACCGAAGUGGAGCCAUG